rnacentral:rRNA from 1 species
UACAGAGGAUGCAAGCGUUAUCCGGAAUGAUUGGGCGUAAAGCGUCUGUAGGUGGCUUUUUAAGUCCGCCGUCAAAUCCCAGGGCUCAACUCUGGACAGGCAGUGGAAACUGCCAAGCUGGAGUACGGUAGGGGCAGAGGGAAUUUCCGGUGGAGCGGUGAAAUGCGCAGAGAUCGGAAAGAACACCAACGGCGAAAGCGCUCUGCUGGGCCGACACUGACACUGAGAGACGAAAGCUAGGGGAGCGAAUGGG